CUCUCUCUCAAUUUAGGGUGCACUGCACUUAUGCAACCUUGUAAGUUUGGGAUUCUCUCGAAGCAGAGUCUCUGUUUGAGGCUCACAGCUUUUCGUUUGAGCGUCAGUAGAAGCCUAGAAGGGACAGAAGUUUUGAAGGAUGAACAAUUCCUUGAAAACAUAAUCCAAGUAUUUUUGGCCAGCAAUCCCAUACGUGAACCUCAACAGCCUAGCAUUAGCAUCGUAUAUAAUACUUUUAAAUAUUG